GGUCUAGUGGUAUAAGGGUAACAUACCUUGGGAUGUUAAUGAAGGACUUCCCAAGUGGUUCCCGGUGCAACUCCGGGCUAGACUG